ACAUUCCUGUUAUGAGAGUGAAGUCGCUGGGCCAGGGGUCCGAGGAGAGGGAAUGUUUUGCUGACAAACUCGGGGAGCCAGGCCUUGAGCAAUGAAUCACCACCGGCCGAACAGCCGCUGGCACGGACCCGGCCCCUGCCAACCCCGUGCUUCCCUGGCCACACGGGCUUGAAUCCUCCCAACAUCCCCUUGAGUUACCUGCUCUUAUUCCUCCCAUUUCACAGAUGAGGAAACGGAGGCUCAGAGAGGUACAUGGCUUGCCCUAAGGCCUCGCAGCCAGUAAGUGGUGGAACCGGGAUUCACACUUGAACCUGAGAUGCUGUAUUGACCAUGGCCUCCUCCAGAGCAGGAUUGUGACGGGGCUGACCAGGGGACCAUGGUCCUGGCUGAGGGCACUGCUCAGGCCAAGAGCCGUCUGGACUUGAAUCAGCUGGAGGCGGCUGGACACAAGUACUUGUUUCCGUUUGACAGGCCCCGGGACCUGAAGCAGGGUUUAGAGUAGGGGUUUCUGCUGGAUGGGGGGCAGGCCCCCAGCAUGGGAGCCAGCUGCCUAGGAGAGCCAGGGUAAGGAGAGGACCCUGCUGAGAGGG